CCUACGGGAGGCAGCAGUGAGGAAUAUUGGUCAAUGGACGAGAGUCUGAACCAGCCAAGCCGCGUGAAGGAUGAAUGCCCUCUGGGUUGUAACCUUCUUUUAUAUGGGAAUAAAAUGUUCCAUGUCUGUGAUUUUGUAUGUACCUUAUGACUUAGGAUCGGCUCACUCCGUGCCAGCAGCCGCGGUAAUAUGGAGGAUCCGUGCGUUAUCCGGAUUUAUUGGGUUUAAAGGGAGCGUAGGGGGAUUGUUAAGUCAGUUGUGAAAGUAUGGGGCUCAACCGUAGAAUUGCAUUUGAAACUGGCGGUCUUGAGUACAGUAGAGGUGGGCGGAAUUCGGGGUGUAGCGGUGAAAUGCGUAGAUAUCAGGAAGAACGCC
rnacentral:rRNA from 1 species